rnacentral:misc_RNA from 1 species
CUUGCCCUGUCAUAGUCAUCAGCCAAGCACACCCAAAUAGUUCCCCUCCCCUCACCUGACAACACGCACACCAAGAAAGCAUCUCUCCUUCCCUCCUCCCUAUCUCAUCUCCCACCUUUUUACCAUUGUGGCGUACUCAGUCGAUCACCUCGCUGAGAGUGCAAGAGCGUCCGCUAGCACAAAGCCAUCCCGCACAGCUACUGGAAGGAUUGCUUUAACGAAGCAAUACAGAAAGUAGAGCAGAGGAGGCAUUAUCGGGGAGACGGGGGGACGCGCGCGCAUGCCGCUUGAUCCCUCCUCCGACAUACUCUCGCUGCCCCGCGUGCCAGCACUCCUCUCACGAGGUGUAAGACGCGUGCGAGUCGCCGACAACCUCCAACCUCACUCUUACCUUCAUACACACACAGACACUCAUAUCGCGUGUACCGUCUUGAUUGAGGUCAAGUAGAUAGCCGCCGUGAUUCUCUUUUAGUGCUCUUCUUUCCCUCCAUUCCUCCAGAUCGGAAAGGAAAAAAAGAAAGGACGACGAAAAGCGGGCCAGGCACUCACACACGCACACACAUCUUCAUACGGAAAGAAGGGAAGUUGAAGGUGUACAAGAGGCGGUGUUGUAUGGGGUAGUCCAUUUUCUUUUUACCAUUUUCUGUAGCUGCUUAUUAUUAUUAUUUUUUAGUCUGUGCCUGUCUCUGUGUGCCUUUUUGUGAUUGCCUGUAGUACAUCGCCCUUGCGGGUGACACUGACCAGGUCACUUUACGCCCCACCCUUCCUCUUUUUUUUUUUCAAAAGUGUGGGGAAAUAGCCGUUCCUCUUUACCUUUCCUCACCUUUGUCUUCAUUCGUCUGUGUGUGCGUGUUUGUCUUUUCCCAGUCUUCUCUCUUUGCCCUUGGAGUGUGCUCUCUUUUUCAUUUCGCCCUCUUCUGUUUCCGACUGUGUGUACAAUCAUCUUCUCUACCCCGCUAUUUGGAUUCUCUUCUCUUUACCCCUCCCCUCUCUCUGCUUUUUUUUGUUUUCGUCUCUUGCCGUGCGCUUGCCCGUGUUUUUGUAUAUAUAUAUUACUGGGAACAGUUUGCUGUCUCCAUUGUCUCGGUUUGCGUUGUGGUGCGGGCUCCUCUCUUUCACAUCUUUCAAACGACCUUCUGCUACUCGGCGCUUUCUCGCCCUGCCUCACUUUCUUUCUCGCCAUCUCUCUCGUGUCUCUCAUCUUCUCUUGUUUUACCCCUCUUACGCUCUCUUCUGCCUGAUUCUGCUUUUUUUACGCCCCCUUUUCCCCAACGUCGCAUUCACGGGUAUUUGUGCACAGACUCGCUCUCGCUUUCCUUUCGUCUCCUGUAGGCUACGCUCGCCUUCCUCCGCUUCUCUUCCCCCUUUUCUCACGACUCUACCUAUCUCCCUUUGUGUUGCUCCGCAGCAGCUGCCGCUGCUGCUCUUUUUAUUUGCUGUUGUUUCUUGUUUGUAAUCCGAGUCUUUGGACGUGUACACGCCUUCUUGUCGGAUUUGCUGUCUGCCCCCUGCUUUGCCGUUCCCUUUUCCCCGUACCUUUUUUUUUCUUCACUCUCUCUUUCUUGUGCGCGCGCACGCACGCACGCAUACGGCAGCAAAAAAGGCUAUAGCCACGAGAGAAGACAGAGAGGGAUUCACACGUGCCUAGAGUGCCUGUGCGAAAUAAAAUCAAGCGUGUGUGUGUGCAUGUGGAUAAAGACGGGCGAGCGAACAGCGUGUGCGCGCACACAGACAGACAAACCGAUAGAGAAGCAAGCGCAUGAAGCAAGGCCCCUCCCUUGUCCCAUUCGUUUGUGCUUUUCAGCGUGCGAGUGUGUGUGUGUGUGUCUUUGCCUUUUUUUUAUUCGUGCACACACCCCCAUCCAAACCCCGUUACAUAUCUGUUUUUCCUUUUAUGUCAUUUGGUUCUCCUCGAUUGUAAUAGUCGUACAUAUUUUUAGUGAUAGAUGCAGUCUUACUGGGCGCUCUCUCCCUGUGUGCUGUGUUUCUCCCUUUAAGUUGUUGUCGCUGACAAUUCCCCAUUCUUUGUGUUUUUCUUUAUUUGUUGACUUUUUUUUCGGUGCACUGAGGGUGCACUCUUGGGUAUCAGAAGUCGUCGUCGUCUGCCUCUUUCCGGCACCACUGUGUUCUUCUCUUACCUAUCCUCGCUGUUUUCUCUUUUCAUUUGCGAGUCGCGGUUAGGUGUCGUCUGUCUCUUUUGGUUUCGUUUUCCUUUGCUUCCAUUUUGGUUCGCAGUCACGUGUUGUCUGGAUUUUUUUUUGUUUCUUGCUGCCUUUCCGGCACUUUAGUCUUCCCCCUCCUCCAAAUUCAGCCCCCCCUCUCCUCUUUGGUUUGCUUUCUGUUGGUUCUGCAUGCUACUGUUCUCCCGCCGUCCUCUUCUCCCUACUCAUCGUGUAUGCCCCUUCCGCGCCUACCCCCUCUUUUUUUUCGCUAGGCGUAUUGCUCCUUUGCCCUUCUGUGUAGUUUUUCUCUUUGGCGGACGAGUUACGUGCGCCUUUUUUUUUCCUGACGUCCACUCUUACACGCUGCUUUCCCUUUUCCUACCCCCUUUUUGUUCUAUCUGUGGCCUGUUUGGAAAGGUAGAGAAGGCGAGGACAAGGGCGAGGCAGCGCGCAGAGAUACGUACAUACACGCAUACGUGUGAUCACUGCGAGCUCAAACAAGCGACCAGGGCACCAUGAUGGCAAGUGGUGACUACAUCUACGCCAAUGACCUCGAUGAUGGGGGCCUGAUGGGCGCAACGGUGCGGCGUCAUGAGCACAGCAGCUCCCUUCUUGUGGGUGUCACGCACGACAGUGCCGGGGAGUCGCAGUCACAGUACGACUACCUGGAUGAGUCCCUGGUGGGGAGCUACAACAGAGGAGGCGAUGGAGUACUGACAGCGCUGGAGCUUGAGGACUUUGCCGGGGCCGAUGGCAGCAAUUUGGCAAGCGUAUUAUCGGAGAGCAACUCUGUCUUUGACAUCGGCGCUGAGGAGGCCAACAUGCAGACACAGACACCGAGUGUGGCGAGCCGGUCCGUGAGCGGUGCUGACUUUGACACGCUGCCCAUCACACCCAUGGCUAAGCAGCCCAUCGAGGAGCCACAUGCAGCGUCGGCGUCGGUACCCAGACCUGCAGCGCCGAACUCAGCCGUCUCAGCGCACCACCUCAACCUCAGAAUCAACACGGUGACAGACCUUAAGCGUCCUUCAACACCGGAUAAGUAUUUUGAGAUUUUCGGAGGUGCCUCUGGCCUGGCGGCGGGGCACAACAACACAGCCAACUACAGCGCUAACACCAGCAGCGGCGAUGCUCACCACCGAAGCGCGAAGGGCACGAGCAACCACCGUGCCACAAACGCAACUGUGACGGCUGCCGGCAAAGGGGCAGCGGCGGCUGGCCAUACAUCAAAGCUUUUCACGUUGCAUCCCGGAACAGCCGCUGCUGGUGUGUCGACAUGUCCUUCAGCGCCAUCUGCGCCGCCCCCGUUGCACCCCUACCCCUCAGUCUCACAGCCACACAACGAUAGCGAGGGGUUCAGUUUUGGCAUCGACACCUUCUUACACGGCAACCAGCUUGGGUUUGGUCGUCAGCCAUCCUUCAAACGGCUCACACCGGCCGUACAGGGCGAGUUGAAGAAGCCCUACUUUCUCUUGCACUUUGAGGAUGGCGACGCGAACACCACUGCUGCUGCCGCGGCGGCGAAAGGGCAUCCUGGGGCGAGUGCGUCCAGCACGAGCCUGCGCGCCGCUCCUGCUGCGGACCGGAAUGCAGAAGAGUUCAAUACGUGGCUCGAGGCACUGGAGCCGAAGGCGGCGGGGUUGUUGACAUCUGCGCGUGGCGGCCCCUGCACGACGCACGCGGGCUCUGCAAUUGGGGAGAACUUCAAGCGAGAGGUGGAUGUCUUCAUGAAGAAUCUGCUUGGUGACUACGAUAUGUUCGCCGGCGCCACGGCCACGGCACCGGUGAACAACUCAUCUGUCUCGGGUGUCUCUCAGUUGUUGGUAGGAGGCAGCGGGCCCCUGAGCAGGCGGCGAGGCAGCGGCCCGCCUUGCCCCGCAGAUUACCAACCAUCAGACCUCGACGCGUUUCUGGGCGAUGCGCGCACCCUCACCCCUCCUCUGCGAUCCCCUACCCUGGCGGUGGGGCAGGCGAAGCAACGGCCUAGGCAAUCAGGUGCCGUUGGUGCUCACACCUCGCUCGUAGGUUCACCGACGCUGAAGACGACAGUGCCAACGACGAUGACUGCCGGCAGCCCGUUCAGCGGUGAAGGGGGGAAGGGCAGCACCGGCGCUUACCCAAGGUCCAGCGCUACCGCCUCGGCAUCACCGCAACCACCGACCCGGGGCCAUGCGACAAAAUGCCGUCGGCACGUCUGGAGCACCUCCCUAGGGCCCAACAAAAGCACAUCGGCGGCCGCCGUGAACGGCGAAGUUGUGCCGGAUCCCACCUCUGCAGCGGCUACCGAGGCUCUGUCAACGACGAAUUUCGCCAAGGCCGCCGCGAAACCGGCCAAUGGGCAGCCAGCGCAGCGUUCCUGUGUGACAGCCGCAUCGCAGACGGUGGCAGCCAUAACUUGCGUGCAAUCAUACGCCUCGACAGGGGCGACUCGCGCCUCUGUCGCGGGGGCUGCCAAGCCAGCGACCGGUAAGGCGACCAACGCCUCUGCAAAGCCCGAUGGCAGCGUUGGCGAUGUUGCGCGGGCGCGUGACCCGGCAACCCCUAGCACUGCGACGCCGUACCCUUACAUGGAUGAAGAUCUCUUGGCGGGUGGCUACAUGACAGGGCCGCCGCAGCUCAUCCGCUCUCCAGUAGAGAGCAGCCCCACCGUACUGCCCGCGGCCCGCGUCGCAGUGGAGGCCCCAUUCACCAACAGCAAGGAGAGAGGGGAGCGCAGUGGCAGCAACACGAGUGACGCCGUCGCCCUGGCUGCGCGUGGUUGCCGCUCCUCGCUGUUGGACGGGCACAUCAGCGCGUCGCAGCAGCGACUCUCGCUGCUCCAGCAGAAGCUGCGCCCGUCUCGGCACAACCGUACACGCGGGGAUGGUGACAGCAAAACCACCUCAGACUUCGACGGUCCAGGCAUGACAGCAUCAGAGGCACUACAGCGAGCGCCGGCUACCAGCAGUCGUGAAGGCUCACGAGAGUCUCCGAUACCAGCUUGGAACGAUCCGUACGGUCGCGCCGCGACUUCCCUGCCUUCGGAGUUGGUUACUGCGGUGUCCAGCAAAACGCGAUUAGGCAGCCGUAGAAACGGUGACAGCACCCUGGGCGACGUGGGUAAAACAUUCCUCUGUUUCGAGGAGGCGGCCGACGAGGACUUGGUGGACAGUGGCGCCACGCGUGCAAACGUGCUGCCACCGCCCGUGUUCCUUGAUCAAAACACCAGCGCACAGGAGGGCAUGACUGCCAACAGCAGUACCUCCGGCUCUGGCGCCACUAGCAGCCAUCUUCACUGCAUCUGCAAGAAUGGUGGGGCCACGACGCCGGCUGGCUGCAGGCGGCGCUCGUCGCGGGGACCUCUCUCGGAGCCAGUAACGGUGGAGCCCAUCGCACUGAAGAAGUGUCUACCUAUUCCGCUGCGGCCGUCGUCCCUAAGCCGGCAGGCGUCUGUCAGCCGAACGGACUGUGAGGCGACAACAAGUGGGGAGCACGGCGCGGCAGCGACGCCGCCGCGGCGACGUCUCACAGAGUUCCGCAACGGUGACUACAUGCUGCCAGCCUUCUUGCUCAAGUCCCGCGUCUCUGCCACCACUGCCGAGGAUUCGCAUUUGGAAGCGUUGAAGCAGCAGGACCGCGACCGGCAGACGCAGCAGGCCAACGAGGAGCGGCGGCAGCGCAUACAGGCCUUCAUGUCAAAGCGAAAGGCCGAAAAGCAGCUGGAGGAGCUGCGGCGCCGCCAGCUGCUGGUGCAGGAGGGGAAGCCGGAGAUGUGCCGUGAGAUGCAGGAGCAACGGCGCAUCCUGGAGGCCACCCCGCACCUGGAGACGUCCGGAACUGUCGGGAGUGGGCUUAACGCCAUCAAGGCGGCGAAGCGCGUGAGCAAGUCGUCCCCGCAGCGCGACCGAGCAGUGCGGCAGCCGGUUCCGGCGGCUGGCCUCAUUCCCAAGGCGGCAAUGGUCGCAACAGUCAGCAGCCCCCACAUCGAGGUGGCCGCACCUGCCGUGGCAGACACCCUCUCUCCCGCUGGACGUGGAAAGGGCAACGGUGCGGUAGCCAAAACCAACGUGCGCGCAGUGGUGGUGUUCACGAGCAGCUCCGGCGCUGAGAAAGGCGGUGUGCCUGUGACAGCCAAGGACGACGGCAACGGACGACGGCGCAGCAACGGCAGCAUCGCCCCGAGCACGGCCGCGUCGGGGCUAUUCGACGAGGGAACGGUGGGGGUUGUAGAGCUGAGUGAGAGCAGCAAGACGCUCAAGGUGCAGCAACCACACGAGCGCACGCGCUUCUUCUUCGUGGACGAGUUUUUGCGCAUCAGUGACGCUGAGGCGUCAAAGCAGGUCGAGCGGCCCGUCAGCACGAGGGGCAGCGGCGUCGUGGGUGGGGUGCUGCCGAACGGCGCAUUGCCGCGGCGACGCUUGUCGUCGUUAACGCUGACGGAGAUGAACCGCAAGUUUCUGGCUGGUGUGAACGUGGCGCUGUUGCUCGCGAGUACCGAGAAGGCGCAUCACGCCUCACUAACGGCGAUUCGGGAGGUGGUGGAGGGAGUGCUGUCGCACAUGCCUCCCCACGGGGAACUCUUUGCCUCCAUCGCGUUCGUCGCCGGUGGCAACACGCAGGACCUGUUGCACGACCCCGAACGCGCAGUGCGCUCAACCUUCUCGACAUCGCCGCUAUUUGGCUCCACACUGGACGAUGUCACCUACGUGGCAGUGACGGGAAUCGGACACCUUUCAGCGAUGGUGACAGAGUCGUACAAGCGGUGCGACCUGGCGGUUCAGCGGCAGCAACCUAGUGCUGGCCUCCUUGUGAUGUCGCUGUUGCUGAAGCAGCCGCGCGGCAGCGACGUUUUGCUGUCCUCGUACUUGAUCACAGACGCGGGGUGCGACGGCAGCACCUACUUAGCGGCCUUGUGCAAGGCACAGCACACCCCAUUUGCGCUUUUCCACUCUGCGCUGGGCGGGCCGACGUUGACGACGGCGCUGAUGUCGGUGGACGUCGACGACACGGCGACGGUGGUGCCGCUGCUGAACGUGCAGCACCGACUCGCUAGUGUUACCAAUAAGCCGUGCCGCGUGGGAAGUGUUCGACGCUUCUUGGAGCUAGCGCAGCAGAAGCUGCAGAACCGCGUCGAAGACGGGAAGUCCGGCAGGAGGCGGAGCUCCGGCUCCACCAUAACGAAGGUGAUUUCAGAGCAGCGGCGGAACAGCGUCAGCAUCUCUAGUAGCAACAGUGUGAGCGACAGCACCAGCUGUUCACCGUCGUUAAGUGGGCACCGGGGGCGAAAGCAGCACCCUGGGUCCCGAGCACAGCUGCACAAGCGGCUUUUAGAGCAGGUUGCGACGGCGCAGAGCAUCCUCAACGACCCCGCAGGCUAUCGACCGAAGGCGGUGCGGGAGUCGUCGCAGGUUCGGCGCGCUAGGGCGCUCACGUCGACGGCGCCGGCGUCAACAUCUGCUGCGCCGCCACUGUCGGCAGCGACGCCCCCGCGCGCGCAGCGGCGCAGCGCAGACGACGGCGCGAUGCCGAAUCCGGACCUGGCGGCGCUGCGCAAGCGUUUGUCGACGAGCAAGGCGACAGCCACCGUCGACACGGUACUGCUGCCGUCGCGCGGCACUGGUUCUGCCCUGGCGCGCAAGCACUCCCCGUCAUAUACCGCCGUGGAGGAACCGCCGAUACAGCUCACGCAGCUGCUAGCCACGCGCCGCCGAAGCGAUGCGCCGAACGUCGAGUCGGACGCGAGCGCCACGGCAAAGACACCACUGUCACCAGCGACCACGCCUUCCAACCAUCAGAUUGCGCAGUUCCGUCCACUGCAGCAGAACUCUUCACCACUGGCAGGGCACAGAAGCGCCAGCAUGUCGUUGAGUACUGCGUACGUGCGCCGCGGGAACGAAGGCGGGGCCGCGCCACACAGGACAUGGUUUAUGAACUUCGAGGAUCUGGGUGACAGCACCACUGCGUCCGUAGGCAGCAGGCCCGGCGCGGGCACCUUGCUGAAGAAAGGCGAGCGAGGGGUGUCGCAAGAUCCACCAUUGUCCUCGGCAACGACAAUGGCAGCCAAGCCACUUAAUGAACGUUGCAUCGCGGACGACAGCGAGUUGUGUCAACGCGGCAAACCUGCGUUGGCCGGCGGUGCAGACGGGUCGACGCAACGGCCGAUGUGUGCGCCACCGGGUGUGGGGAGCAGGCGUGUGGGUGCAGGUCGGAAAGGGCUGCUCGCGGCUCCUACGCGAAUUGGGUCGAAUGGACCACAGUGGCCCAGCAUAGCCGCCAUGGACCCCGGCAACAUCCCGGUCGUUCCGUGCGUUGACUCCAUCGACUCCUCGCUUGUACACGACGUCUCCGUGGCCGCGCGGCAGAGUUCGACGGCCGACGACGGCAAGAAGGCGCCGAUCCCGACGUCGACAAAGGUGCGCACGCUCGUCAUCGUUGACCCACGCUGCUGCGAAACGUCGAACGUGACGUACGAUAAUACAAUGGUGAUUGCCACCACCGACGAUGACUUUGAGGAAUACGACGUGGACGAGGUGCGCGAGGUGGCGCCGGCGCAGGAGUCGAUUCAAGCGGACCUGCUGACGGAGCUGUGUAAAACACUGCUUCUCGGCGGCAACGCCUCCAUUCUCGGCGCUGAGAGUCGUCCGACCGGCGUCUGUGCACAGGUGCUCAAGUCCGUUGUGCACACAAUCUUUGCAGACAUGAACCGCGAUGGGACGCAUCGCAGAGGACGUCUCAGCGUCUCAAUUGUGAAGGUGAAGGGGGAGUCUGUUGUCGACUUGCUAAAGGACUCCGGCGAAGCGCAGAAGCUCGUCAUUGCCAUUUCGCCCCUGUUCGGCUCCUGCGUCCACGGUGUCACCUACUCUAAUAUCACGAACUCGGCCACCUUCAACGCCACGAUUGACGCCGCGCUGCUCCGCGCCGCCUCCGACGACAACGGCCGCGACUACGGCUUCCUCUUCUGCUCUCUCAUUUUCAAGCUGCAGCUAGAGGAGGAGGGAGACGUGCUCGUGUGCUCGCUGGUGGCAACCUUCGCCGGCGAGCACGUCGGGCUCUACACGUCUGUCCUGGACCGCAGUCCUCUCGUACCGCGCGCGUUGUUCCACUACGCCCUCGGCGGCCCCAGCUACACGAUCGCACUGCUCGGCAUCGGCAGCGAGGAGUCUCGCGCCAACCAGAUGCUGCAGGUGCAGCGGCGGUUGGGCGAGGUGAGCAACCGCGCGACACACCCGGGCAGUGUGGCGAAGUUCGUGGCCGGCAUCCGCAACGACUUAACGCCGAACCUGAUCGCCAAGUACGAGAGCACGCAUGACCGGGAUGAACGAGCGGCAACGAAGGAAAUGAUCGGGCGGCUGGCGGAGAUGGUGAAGGAUGCAGACGCGCUUCUACACGACUUCGACCACCACCAGCCCAAGGCCUACCUGCACGAGGACCAGGAGCGGGGGACGGCGCCGACAGGCACGGCAGCCGUCAAAGGCCCCGAUCCGGGUUCACUUGCCACGGCAGCGCCACGCAGGAACAACGCGAACGGCACUAAUGACUCCAGUUUGAUGAACAAAGCCUCUGCCGUCAGUGCCGUGGCGGCUACAGCGCCGCCGCCCACCAGCCGACCGGCUACGGAGCGCUCGUUGCCUUCCAUCACCGCGGUGAACCCGGAGGGCGAGGGGAACCACAUCCAGUCGCUGGUAUGUUUCGAGCAGGUGCUGAUGGGCGCCGGCUCGGUCGCAGCGCACGGCAACUCGAUCCUUUGCACGAGCCAGGGGGGAAUGCGCUACGACAGCGACGAGGUGAUUGUGUGCGACGAGUCACAUCGGUCCUUGUCGUCGAAACUCAUGGAUAAACUGGUAGCCAAGUUCCUUGCCGGCUAUCACACGGGCUUGCUCGCCGCCGACAGCAGCUAUAGCGCCUUCACGCCGCUGAUGCUGCGCUGCAUCGCUAACAGCAUCCUCGACGCGAUUCUCGGACGCGAGGCAGGGCCGCGUGAGGGCUUGACUUCCUCCGCUUCCUUCAAGCCACCCACGGUGACGGGCGAGCUGUACGUUUCCAUUGCUCUCAUCAAGGAUGAAGUGACAGCUGACCUGCUGCCCACCGACGCCGACGCGACGUACCACCGCUUCGAGAUGGAGCACAAACCUCUUUAUGGCCCCCGCGUUGUCGGAGUAACGUCGCACCUCGUCUCCACACCGCAGGACUUCGACCACUUCCUAGCGGUGGCCAUCGACAAUGCCGAUCCGGCGCUGCAGUCAGCAGAUCCAGGCAUCAUGGUGGUCUUGCUGACCCUAACCCAGCGUGUAACGAAGCCGACCAAGGAUGUGCUGGUGUCGUCGCUUUUGUGCACCGCCGUCUUCGACGCCGUUCAUCAUUACGAGCGUGUGCUGGGGGGCGAUACGAGCGAGCCGUUGGAGUUGUUCCACAACAUUCUCCGCGGGCCGUGCUUCACCGUCGCGCUGUUUGGCAUCAGCGAUGAGGAGGAGAACCCCGGCAAGCUGCUGCGCGCGCUUCACGGUAUUACCCAAGUGCGCAACCGCCCCGCGGAGGUGAACAGUGUGUCGCGGCACAUCCGAGAGCUGCAGCGCGGCAUCGUGCAGCUGAAGGAGCGCAUGACUCCGUCAUCCAGCGAGGAGGAGAAAGAGUAUAUUCUGAGCCGCGUUAAGGUCGCCGAACAUCUGCUGGCCGACGCGGAGGCGCUGCAGCGCAACACCCUUUCCUCCGUGCAGCCACGCCCCUUCGUCCCGCUUGGCGGCGCACCCCACUUGCGGGCAUAGACAGCUUCAGAAAUGUGUGUAUGCUAUGAUGGCGGCUGCAUUACCGUGUCGAAUCUUUGUGCACUCUUUUUUUUUGCGUGCAUUUGUGCUUUUGCCUCUCUGCGUGUGCGUCGCUGCCAUCAGGAACGCGCCCCAUCAUCUCUCCCUUUCCUCUUCAAUCUUUUCUUCCUCACUCUACUGUUCACUGCCGUGUCGCUUCGCUCGCCAUAUAUCAGGUGCGUUGCCGUUCUCUUGCCGUCUGUGUGUUUGUCUCUCUCUCCUUUUUCCGAUCUCUGGCAUUCCCUCUUUGCCCUCUCUUGCUUUUUCUUUUCUGUCUUCGCGUUCUCGCACCCUGUGUGCGAGUACCGAUGCCUUUCCCAUGCCGUGGUCACUUCUCUCACGUGCCCGCCAACCGUAUCUCAUUUUCUGUGUGCAUUUUUUUUGAAUUCCUUUUUCUUUUGCCCGCCGUCUUGCUCCUUACAUGCGCAACACAGACGCGCGUCGCUGUCUGUUUCGCUCGCUCGCUCUCGCUCUCGCUUUCUGUGGGUAUUUUUGUUGGCGCUUCGUUGCUCUUCUUCGCCCCUUCUCUGGGGAAGCACACUUCUUCUCGCCUUCCUCGUCUCCGUACGUGCUUGUUUGUGCCUUGGUUAGACGUGGUGGUGGCGUACGAAGAAAAAGCUGCUUGCACUUGAAGAGCGAUGCCCCGGACGCCUACUCCGACCCUUUCAAAGGGAGCGGACAAAAAAAAAAACUGCAACAGCUAUGCACGCGCUCAGACGCAUGGAGCGAUACAAUCCUGCAUGCACACACGUACUUGAGCUUCUCACACAGAGACACGGCGGCGGCAUCCGCUCUCCGACACGUACACACACACACAUAUGUAUAUAUAUGUAUGUAAUAGCUGAAGUCAUUCAUUCGGUGUAUUUUUGUGUCAUUCAUGAUUGCCUCUCCCUCUCUCCCUCGUUUGCUUCACGCGCAUGGCUACACUGCACGUGCUUGACAGCGAAGAGGAUGCGAAUCAGGUGUAAAACGGAGAAAAAAAAAGCGGAAACGACAUAAUGAGAAAAGUGGAUGUCUGGAUGAGCGGAAAGCGGAGGGGGUUAGCCGUUCAUUUUUGUUUUAGGUAGCAGAUUUUCUCAGCAAAC